CUUUCUCUAUUCUUUCUUUCCUUCCUUCUUUUCUUCCUUCAUUUCUUCCCUCCUUCCUCCCUCCCUUCAUUCCUUCCCUUUUUCUUUCCUUCCUUCCUUCCUUCCUUCCUUCCUUCCUUCCUUCCUUCCUUCCUUCCUUCCUUCCUUCCUACUUUCCUUCCACCUUUCUUCAUUCCAUUUUUAUUUUUUCGUACACUCUUUAACUUAGAACCUGUUUUCUUCCUGCUUUGGAGGAUCAGGAAAGGUGCUACAAAGCUGGUAACAUUUCAGCUGAAUUUCUUGAGAAGAAUGAGAAUUCAAAAGAUUAUCAAGGGGAGAAGGAUAUUCCAAGCAGGGGGAACAGCAAAUGCAAAGUCAUGGAGGACUGUUCUGGGAACUUGAGAAGCCUGAGGGUGGACACCAUACACGGAGGAUGGAAGAGAACGGACAGAAAGUCAGAAAUUGGCCAAACCAAUUCCUCCUCCAGAGCCCGAACCCUGAACCUGAACCCUGAACCUCGCGGGACGUGAAAGGGUUCACUACAAGAGAUUAGUGACAACUUUGUCACCUGCCAAGCCGGGCUUGUGGACGUGAAGGGAAGCAGGAAGAGCAGGCAGUGGCUAUAGGAUCCAAAGAGAAUUUUCCUGGGCAGGUGGAGUCUGCAGCAUGUGUAGAGGCUGAGUCUGGAGGCUGGGAAGUCUGCGUUCAGGAUGCCAGCAUGGUCGUGGUCAAGUUCUGGUGAGAGCCCUCUUCCUGGUUUGCAGAUGGCUGCCUGCUCACUACGUCCUCACAGGACAGAGAGGGGGAAAGGACUUUGGCCUCUGCUCUUCUUAUCAAGAACACUAAUCCCACCAUGAAGACCCUACCAUGACCUCAUUUAAACAUAAUUACCUCCCAAAGGCCCCACCUGCAAACAUCAUCAAAUUGGAAGUUCAGGCUUUGACAUAAAUUUUGGGGGACAGCAACAUUCAUCCAUAGGAA